ensembl:rRNA 5S_rRNA 5S ribosomal RNA
AACUAUAGCCAUGCCAUCCUGAACAUGCCUGAUCUUGUCUGAUGUCAGAAACUAAACAGAGUCAGGCCUGGUUAGUACUUGGAUUGGAGUACUAACCAGGAGUACCAGAUGCUGUGGGCU